AGCAUCGUCUCUCUCCACAGGUCAAAGAAAUACGACGGGUUGGUGUAAAACUUCAAACCCUCCUUCCCGUCAUCCCUAGAGAAGGAAACAACCUACUAAAGGAGGUUGAGGCAAAAUGGAAAACGUUUGAAGAAAAGGAAACACAAUCCAGCUGAAAUCAAGCAAUUAUCACAUUUGAGUUUAUCAUGAGCAUCCCGAGACAUUUACCUGGCUCCUGGUUUCAGAUGAUCUCCAAACAAAUGUCUUCAGAAGAAAGGUUUUUACACACAUUGACAUACUGUUGCCCCAAAUAGACAGCCGAAAAAGUCUUACUUAUUUUUUUUUUGUCUUAAUUUCCAGCAAAAAUAUCUUAAAAUGUUUAUUUUGAGAUACAUUUACCCUCUUAAAGGCGGAGUCCACGAUGUUUGAAAGCCAAUGUUAAUAUUUUAAAACACCUAAACAAACAUGCCCCUACCCCAAUAGAAUCUGGACCUUCUGUUGAUAGACCCGCCCCACACAUACACAACCCGGCAAGAAUAUCGGUUCUUCACUGCUCCUCACUGCUGAUUGGCUAUAAGUGUGUUUUGGUAGUCGGCCCGUCUCCUUUUCCAAAGCGUUUUUCAAACAUCGUGGACUCCGCCUUUAACCAAAAUGAUACAAAAGAUUAUAUAAUAAUAAUAAUAAUAUGUUUAAUUUCUAUAGCGCCUUUUCCAUGCUC